UGUGUGUGUGUGUGUGUGUGUGUGUGUGUGUGUGUGUGUGUGUGUGUGUGUGUGUAAAAUCUGUUGUAAUUAUUUUACAUUUUUCUCUGCAUAGCUGUCUCCUUCACCUAUAUUAGUUUAUCUGUCUUUCUGGUCACAACAGAAAUUCAAGACGUUUGGGUCCUCAGCUCAACUGACCAAGACCUUUGCUCAUUGAAGGCAUGAAGUAAUUUGUGAUGCCCCCACGAUUGCAGUUUUUAAAUCCAGAUGGCUUGCUCUUUUUAACAUGUGCGAGAGCUGGAUGGUCUUUCAACAACACUGCUCCGGGUCUUCAGCAAGAAAGGUGCUUCUCAUGCAAGGAAGAUACAGAGGAUCCUGGUGCCCAUGACUCAGACUGACAACAUUGAUGUGAAGAGGGAGUGCAUGCUGAGGAGCUGACGGUCUACCUGAAUGAAGAGCCAGACAAAGUGGAUGUUGAUCUGGACGGUCCAGCUGAAACGUAUUGUCUUCGUGUGCGUGUGAUCGACAGAGAGUCCUCAACGACAUUGGUAACGUACCUGUGGCCAUUGCAGUGUUUGUUUUGGUUUAUGCUCUUAAUCUCUGUUACCUUCCAGAAUGGAAGUACACUUUCAAAUUUCUGUUUCAUUCUAACCGUCUGUUUCAUCAGUUUUUGCACUGCUUUUAAAUGUACACUGUGUAAGAUUCUUAGUUGUUUAUUUCCAGAAUUCAUGCUACCCAUUCACUAAUGUUACCUUUUUCAUGAAUACUUAGCACCACCAUUAGGGUGCAUCAGUUGCCCCCUAUGAAAAGAUAUGGCCUUG